CUUCCCUUCCCCUCCCCCAAGCAGAGAAUUAUCACAGCCAAAGCCAAAGCCAAGGAUGUCUACAUGCAAAGGAAAGAGUUCGUGGCCAGAGUUGGUGGGCAAAUUGGGAAAGCACGCAGAGAAAACCAUCGAGAGGGAGAAUCGUUUGGUUGAUGCAGUGAUUGUUGGCGAAGGCUCAAGUGUGAUUCUUGACUUCAGGUGCGACAGGGUGUGGGUUUGGGUGAACGAGAAAACUGGUAGAGUUACUAGGACUCCUAUUAUUGGUUAAUGAUUACCCCUCAGCCUCAAACAAACAAUCAUGUAACAAAUUUUUACAAACGCCCUCAUGUUGUUCUACACUACGGCAUGAAUUUAUGAAUAAGACGUUUGUAUUCGUUUUUAAUUUAAGAUGUAAUUUGCUCUAAUAUUGUGUUUCGUUGUAAUAAAAAUAUUUACUA